AUAUUUACCACAAUGGUGGGA
rnacentral:misc_RNA from 1 species